rnacentral:rRNA from 1 species
AGCAGCCGCGGUAAUUCCAGCUCCAAUAGCGUAUAUUAAAGUUGUUGCAGUUAAAAAGCUCGUAGUUGAAUUUCGGGAUCAAGGAAUUGGUCAUGCCUCGGUAUGUACUGGUUUUAUUGGUUCUCACCUUCUAAAGAACCAUAAUGUCAUUCAUUUGAUGUUAUGGGAAAUUAGGACUGUCACCUUGAAAAAUUAGAGUGUUUAAAGCAGGCUUACGCUUGAAUACAUUAGCAUGGAAUAAUGAAAUAGGACAUCAGAUUCUAUUUUGUUGGUUUCUAGGAUCGAUGUAAUGAUUAAUAGGGAUAGUUGGGGGCAUUAGUAUUCAAUUGUCAGAGGUGAAAUUCUUGGAUUUAUUGAAGACUAACUACUGCGAAAGCAUUUGCCAAGGAUGUUUUCAUUAAUCAAGAACGAAAGUUAGGGGAUCGAAGACGAUCAGAUACCGUCGUAGUCUUAACCAUAAACUAUGCCGACUAGGGAUCGGAUGAUGUUAAUUUUAUAAUGA